GAAAAUUAACUGCUGUAUGAUUGGGUCUCCAAACCGCUUUCAUCUCAUGCAGGCACUAAUUACUUGGCACCCGCUAAAAGUUCAAAGCGUUUAUGCGGCGACGGACGAAUCGACACGAUAAUUUAGGGGUAGUCACCAUACACGGCAAACUCAUCAGUAAAUUCCCGCCAUUUAUAUCAUAAUUGAACAUUUAAGUACUAAAAUAAAAACUUCAAAUGUAUUCAUUCAUAAAAAUACACUAGAUGUUCCUAAAAUUGUAAUCAAACUGUACAAUGAUUUAAAAGUUGUAGAGCUAACACCCCAAUAAAAACGUAAACAUUGAAUCGUCCAGUAAUCUGGGUCAUCGUCUGCUAAUGUACUGAUCACACUCGCCUCGGAUGUGAUACGCACACAAUAACAGUAUGUAUAGGUCAUAUUUUAUUUUAAAAAUUUUAAAAUUAAAACGUGAAGAUGAUGUGGCGUUUGAAAGAAGAUAUUGAUUCGGAUACUUUGUACAAUAACGAUGAGGAAAUCGGCGCUAGUAGGCCCUACAGGUCUGUGUCCGCCCUGAAGAAGAUCUUCAUUUUUUGAAGGUGAAGCUACAAUAUUUGUCUUGAACUUGACUUUACUAGCUGGGCUUAUAAAGACAAGAUAUCCAGAAGUGAUUUCAUAGAGAAAUGGAAAUCAAUAAUACCUAGAAGCAUGUGAAGUGGAGAUGAAGUGAUGCUGAGAACUUUCAAGGAAACUUCUCAGUGAAGUCCGAUGAUGGCACACAAGAGUACCUUCUUCAUGUUCUUCAUGGGAUAAAGCACAGGAUCAUUAUAAUCAGGAGUUACUCACAGGAUCAUUAUAAUCAGGAGUUACUAGUACUCAGUCAACAUAGACUCAAUUUUAGAAAAGAAUUAAAUGGAUAUUAAUGUUAGCCUAAAAAUAUUUGACCUAGAGUCUUUAGUUUGUGUUGGGGCACCCAUGUCCUUUGGAUACUUUUCUAGUUACAAUUUAAUUAGACAUUAGUGUAAAUACAACAAAAUUAAUUAUUUAAUGCUGUUCAUGUUUGAACUAUGUUUUAAUCUUACCUACAUGUAUAAAAAUCAAACAUUUUUAGCUCGACUAUUUGAUAAGAAUAAGUAUAGCUAUUGUAGUCACCCGAGUGGCGGCGUAACCUCCUAUGUUAAAGUUUUUGUAAUACCACAAAUAUUUUCAAAGUCCGUUAUUAAGAUUUUUCUUGUUAUAAAUAAAUGUUCCGCCGGCAGAACAGAAUCACUUAUGAUUAUAUCCUAUGUUUAAAUUGAUGUUAUCAUAUUUAUGUUCCGUCAGCAGAACAAUUUCAAAUCAAUUUUAUUAAAUGAUAUUCUUUCUGAAUUAUAUUUUUAAUUAAACCUAAAAAGGUUGUUAAGAAUUUUCUUGUUAUAAAUAAAUGUUCCGCCGGCAGAACAGAAUCACUUAUGAUUAUAUCCUAUGUUUAAAUUGAUGUUAUCAUAUUUAUGUUCCGUCAGCAGAACAAUUUCAAAUCAAUUUUAUUAAAUGAUAUUCUUUCUGAAUUAUAUUUUUAAUUAAACCUAAAAAGGUUGUUAAGAAUUUUCUUGUUAUAAAUAAAUGUUCCGCCGGCAGAACAGAAUCACUUAUGGUUAUAUCCUAUGUUUAAAUUGAUGUUAUCAAACUUAUGUUCCGCCGGCAGAACAAUUUCAAAUCAAUUUUAUUAAAUGAUAUUCUUUCUGAAUUAUAUUUUUGAUUAAACCUAAAAAGGUUAUUAAGAUUUUUCUUGUUAUAAAUAAAUGUUCCGCCGGCAGAACAGAAUCACUUAUGGUUAUAUCCUAUGUUUAAAUUGAUGUUAUCAAACUUAUGUUCCGCCAGCAGAACAAUUUCAAAUCAAUUUUUAUUAAAUGAUAUUCUUUCUGAGUUAUAUUUUUGAUUAAACCUAAAAGGUUAUUAAGAUUUUUCUUGUUAUAAAUAAAUGUUCCGCCGGCAGAACAGAAUCACUUAUGGUUAUAUCCUAUGUUUAAAUUGAUGUUAUCAAACUUAUGUUCCGCCAGCAGAACAAUUUCAAAUCAAUUUUUAUUAAAUGAUAUUCUUUCUGAAUUAUAUUUUUGAUUAAACCUAAAAAGGUUGUUAAGAAUUUUAAUAUAUUGUAAUAAGUAAAUGUUCUGCCGGCGGAACAGGAUUAUUUAUGAAUUUAUAAAUUUUUCCUUUGCGUUAGAGUGAAUCAUAUUUCUGUUCUGCUGGCGAAACAAUUUCAAAUGAUUACAUUAUUUGAUUUUAAUUUAAGAAAUAUAUUUUUGACAAAAUUUUGCAAAGGUGUUAAAAAUUGUAUCUUGUAGUAAAUAAAUGUUCCGCCGGCAGAACAGAAUCACCUACGGUUAUAUCCUAUAGAUGUUUAAAUUGAUGUUAUCAUACUUUUGUUCCGCCGGCAGAACAAUUUCAAAUCAAUUUUAUUAAAUGAU